rnacentral:rRNA from 1 species
GAUGAACGCUGGCGGCGUGCCUAAUACAUGCAAGUCGAGCGAAUGGAUUAAGAGCUUGCUCUUAUGAAGUUAGCGGCGGACGGGUGAGUAACACGUGGGUAACCUGCCCAUAAGACUGGGAUAACUCCGGGAAACCGGGGCUAAUACCGGAUAACAUUUUGAACCGCAUGGUUCGAAAUUGAAAGGCGGCUUCGGCUGUCACUUAUGGAUGGACCCGCGUCGCAUUAGCUAGUUGGUGAGGUAACGGCUCACCAAGGCAACGAUGCGUAGCCGACCUGAGAGGGUGAUCGGCCAGACUGGGACUGAGAAACGGCCCAGACUCCUAAGGGAGGCAGCAGUAGGGAAUCUUCCGCAAUGGACGAAAGUCUGACGGAGCAACGCCGCGUGAGUGAUGAAGGCUUUCGGGUCGUAAAACUCUGUUGUUAGGGAAGAACAAGUGCUAGUUGAAUAAGCUGACACCUUGACGGUACCUAACCAGAAAGCCACGGCUAACUACGUGCCAGCCGCCGCCGUAA